GACGAACGCUGGCGGCGUGCUUAACACAUGCAAGUCGAACGCUGAACCCGCUUCGGUGGGGGAUGAGUGGCGAACGGGUGAGUAACACGUGGGCAACCUGCCCCCGGCUCUGGGAUAACUCCAAGAAAUUGGGGCUAAUACCGGAUGUGACCGCUGGCCGCAUGGUCUGGUGGUGGAAAGGGUUUCCGGCUGGGGAUGGGCCCGCGGCCUAUUAGCUUGUUGGUGGGGUAGUGGCCUACCAAGGCGACGACGGGUAGCCGGCCUGAGAGGGUGACCGGCCACACUGGGACUGAGACACGGCCCAGACUCCUACGGGAGGCAGCAGUGGGGAAUAUUGCGCAAUGGGCGGAAGCCUGACGCAGCGACGCCGCGUGGGGGAUGACGGCCUUCGGGUUGUAAACCUCUUUCAGCAGGGACGAAGCGCAAGUGACGGUACCUGCAGAAGAAGCACCGGCCAACUACGUG
rnacentral:rRNA from 1 species